rnacentral:miRNA from 1 species
CUGACUGUUUCAAAAGCUUGUA